rnacentral:rRNA from 1 species
UACGUAGGGGUGCAAGCGUUAAUCGGAAUUACUGGGCGUAAAGCGUGCGCAGGCGGUUGUGCAAGACAGAUGUGAAAUCCCCGGGCUCAACCUGGGAACUGCAUUUGUGACUGCACGGCUGGAGUGCGGCAGAGGGGGAUGGAAUUCCGCGUGUAGCAGUGAAAUGCGUAGAUAUGCGGAGGAACACCGAUGGCGAAGGCAAUCCCCUGGGCCUGCACUGACGCUCAUGCACGAAAGCGUGGGGAGCAAACAGG